GGUGCAAGUAGGAGGCCAGGCAAGGAACCCCUAGAAGCAUCUAUACAGGAGUUUAGUAAGCUUUAUCCAGGCAAGUGAAACUCUUCCUUUAUACUUGCUUGAUAAUUGUAUACCCUGUGAAUGUUGAAUUACUGUUUAUUUAGGAUUGAAUUACCUUAUCACCCCUUAUGAUCAUGAUUGUGGAUUCCAAUAAUACCCUUAACAUUUGAAGUACCUUUUCAUGUAAUAUUACCCUACACCCACAUGAUUACACUCCAAUAGUCCCUUGAUGAAUAAUGAGAACUUGAUACCCCACAUUAAACUGAAUUAUCUCAUUUGGAACCCUGAUCUUAAUAACAUUUCCUAUUUUUGAAAGAUCACUUGUAUUUUGAAAACAUCCUUGCUUAUAACUUGUCUUUGAUCAAGACCCCUUUUUUUGAAAAUGAUUUGAUUUGAAAUGACCUUAAAAGGAAUUGGAUAAUAAUUUUAUAUUAAGACUGAGGCGCCAGUCUAUUAUUGCAGCAUCAGUAGCGGGGAGCCUGAUGUCUGUUUAUGGCCAAUGUGUGCCGAGGAUCCUCCCUGGUUGAAUCACUUUAUGUGGUUCGGAGCUUGGUGUGGGCUGAUCACCCCUCAAUGCUCGUAGCGCUGUGUGUUUCCAAUUCCAAUAAAUUGAUAUCCCACAUUGCACCUUUACUUGUGUUUACACCUUGUGAUGUCCGUUGUUGCUUUUGCACUUGAUAUAUUGCAUAUUGUGAACUGUUUUAUUUACUGUUUUCACUUGCUGAGCUUUUUGCUCAUAUAUAUUGUUGUUGUUAUAACCCUUCAGUGAAACCCGAGAAUGACCCGUCUCAAGCAGACCGCUCGUAAGACCACCUCAGGCAACGGGAUUGCUUUCCGCCGUAUGAUGGGACUGGUUGGGAACUCGUAGUUCCCUAGUUAUUUUCCUUUGAACUUUUGGGAUUUAAAAACUGUAGUUUGACUUAGACUUAAUUUGGAUUCUAUUUGGGUUGUAAUAACUUUAGUUGUUGUUCAUACUCAUUCCUGGUGAUUCCGGGAGUGUGGAUUUAGACUUGUAGAUUAAUAUUUAUAACUCUGUAGUUUAAUCAUAUUUAUCGAUUUGCAUGCUUUAGUCGGAUAUUUAAGUUGG
rnacentral:lncRNA from 1 species